GGCGUGGCAUAGUGGUUUGGGUGUUGGACUGUGACUUUGAAGACCUGGGUUCAAACCCCAGCUUGGCCA